GCGAGUGAAGCGGGAAGAGCACAAAUUUUAAAUCUACCUGGUUUCCAGGUCGAGUUGUAAUUUGAAGAAACGUUUUUUACGUUCCGGGUUGGGUUAAAUCCUUUGGGAUAAGGUAUCAUGGAGGGUGAGAAUCCCGUGUAUACCAACCACUGGAAUGUUAUUAAUACGAUUUCUAAGAGUCGAGUUGUUUGGGAAUGCAGCUCUAAAUGGGUGGUAAAUUUCACCUAAUGCUAAAUAUAAGCGAGAGACCGAUAGUGAACAAGUACCGUGAGGGAAAGAUGAGAAGAACUUUGAAAAGAGAGUUAAAUAGUACGUGAAAUUGUUGAAAGGGAAACGGUUGAAGUCAGUCAUGCCGGCGGGAAUCAACUUAGGGGAAACUUUGAGUGCACUUCUUCGCUUGGCAGGUUAGCGUCGAUUUUGGAUAUCAUAAAAUGACUGGGGGAAGGUAGCUCCUUUGGGAGUGUUAAGCCCUUGGUAGAUGUGAUGUCUAGGAUCGAGGAUUGCAACGGAUACCUUUUGGGCUAGCCGCCUAGUCUCUAAUAUGAAGUUGGGUUACGGACAGCAUGCUGACUGUGAUCUGAUUUUCGGUUAAAAGAUUAGAGCGAGUGUAAAUUCGUUAAGGACGC
rnacentral:rRNA from 1 species